rnacentral:rRNA from 1 species
UACAGAGGUCCCGAGCGUUGUUCGGAUUCAUUGGGCGUAAAGGGCGUGUAGGCGGUUGGUCAAGUCUGAUGUGAAAGCCCGGGGCUCAGCCCCGGAAGGGCAUCGGAAACUAGCCAGCUGGAGCGCGAUAGAGGAGGGUGGAAUUCCUGGUGUAGCGGUGAAAUGCGUAGAUAUCAGGAGGAACACCGGCGGCGAAGGCGGCCCUCUGGAUCGUUGCUGACGCUGAGACGCGAAAGCGUGGGGAGCAAACAGG